rnacentral:rRNA from 1 species
AUUGAACGCUGGCGGCAUGCCUUACACAUGCAAGUCGAACGGUAACAGGUCUUCGGAUGCUGACGAGUGGCGAACGGGUGAGUAAUACAUCGGAACGUGCCUAGUAGUGGGGGAUAACUACUCGAAAGGGUGGCUAACACCGCAUACGAUCUAUGGAUGAAAGCGGGGGACCGUAAGGCCUCGCGCGAUUGGAGCGGCCGAUGUCAGAUUAGGUAGUUGGUGGGGUAAAGGCUCACCAAGCCAACGAUCUGUAGCUGGUCUGAGAGGACGAACAGCCACACUGGGACUGAGACACGGCCCAGACUCCUACGGGAGGCAGCAGUGGGGAAUUUUGGACAAUGGGCGCAAGCCUGAUCCAGCAAUGCCGCGUGCAGGAAGGAGGCCUUCGGGUUGUAAACUGCUUUUGUACGGAACGAAACGGUCCUGGUUAAUACCUGGGGCUAAUGACGGUACCGUAAGAAUAAGCACCGGCUAACUACGUGCCAGCCGCCGCAGUAAUAC